rnacentral:rRNA from 1 species
GAAUCUUAGACAAUGGGGGAAACCCUGAUCUAGCCAUGCCGCGUGAUCGAUGAAGGCCUUAGGGUUGUAAAGAUCUUUCAGCUGGGAAGAUAAUGACGGUAACAGCAGAAGAAGCCCCGGCUAACUCCGUGCCAGCAGCCGCGGUCAUACGGCGGGGGCUAGCGUUAUUCGGAUUUACUGGGCGUAAAGCGCACGUAGUCGGAGCAGAAAGUUAGGGGUGAAAUCCCGGGGCGCAACCUCGGAACUGCCUCUAAAACUCCUGGUCUUGUGGUCUGUCACGUUGCAUUCUCUUCCAAUUAUUUCAGUGAAAUUCGUAGAUAUUCGGAGGAACACCAGUGGCGAAGGCGGCUCACUGGCUCGAUACUGACGCUGAGGUGCGAAAGCGUGGGGAGCAAACA